rnacentral:rRNA from 1 species
GAUGAACGCUGGCGGCGUGCCUAAUACAUGCAAGUCGAGCGAACGGACGAGAAGCUUGCUUCUCUGAUGUUAGCGGCGGACGGGUGAGUAACACGUGGAUAACCUACCUAUAAGACUGUGAUAACUUCGGGAAACCGGAGCUAAUACCGGAUGAUAUUUUGAACCGCAUGGUUCAAAAGUGAAAGACGGUCUUGCUGUCACUUAUAGAUGGAUCCGCGCUGCAUUAGCUAGUUGGUAAGGUAACGGCUUACCAAGGCAACGAUGCAUAGCCGACCUGAGAGGGUGAUCGGCCACACUGGAACUGAGACACGGUCCAGACUCCUACGGGAGGCAGCAGUAGGGAAUCUUCCGCAAUGGGCGAAAGCCUGACGGAGCAACGCCGCGUGAGUGAUGAAGGUCUUCGGAUCGUAAAACUCUGUUAUUAGGGAAGAACAUAUGUGUAAGUAACUGUGCACAUCUUGACGGUACCUAAACAGAAAGCCACGGCUAACUACGU